rnacentral:rRNA from 1 species
UACAGAGGUCCCAAGCGUUGUUCGGAUUCAUUGGGCGUAAAGCGUGCGUAGACGGUUUCGUAAGUCGGGUGUGAAAUCCCCGGGCUCAACCUGGGAAUUGCAUUCGAAACUGCGAGGCUAGGGUACGGAAGAGGGAAGCGGAAUUUCUGGUGUAGCGGUGAAAUGCGUAGAUAUCAGAAGGAACAUCAGUGGCGAAAGCGGCUUCCUGGUCCAGUACCGACGUUCAGGCACGAAAGCGUGGGGAGCAAACAGG